rnacentral:lncRNA from 1 species
AUGGUAAGUUUAUGUAAAGCAAAUAUUUUAAACUUCUGUCCAAAGUUCCUUCUUCUUUCUCGUCUGUUAUCAGGGGAAAUAGCUAUAGAAUUCAAUGUACUUAUAUACUUAAAAAUUUGGAGAUGUGAACCCAAGUUAUUAUCUGAGUUUUCUGUUUUUGAUCAUGUCCACAGAUCAUCCACUCGAUUUGUGAUUGAUAUAUUUGUUAAGCUUAUGAGCGCAAUGGCAAAACAGUACCAGCUGAUGAUGAUAUGGCAUAUGGAUGCCCACUGGAUGUGGAUUGCAUCAGAUGGCUUACUUCAUGUGGUGUAUCAGCUGUGCUCCAGCUCUGGACUUACUGUUCUCCAUGGGUUGAACACAGAGAGGAUUCAGACUCUAACGCCAACUGAGCGUGCUUUUUCUUGUCUCUGGAUGUCAGUCUGACAGCAGGAGUGUUAACAUGAUGUCACUGAGUUUGAACAGCAGCAAAGCUGAGACACAAAGACAGAAAUAUGCAGCCUGUCUCAGGACGUGCUGAGACAUCCCCCUGCAGCUGUAUGGGCUAUCAGCACAUCUCCGCCCUUUCACCAGAGACAACCUCUGAGGGGUAACUUUGCCUUCAGACUUCAGUCGCGUAUUAUUUGCUCUCAGCCAGAGCUUUUUGCCUGUCUUCUGGGAGCGCUGAUCCACUCACCGCAGCUAAGCACUACAUACGAAGCCUUUCCUACGCGUGUUCUCUCUCUCUUAAAAAAAAAAAAAAAAAAAAAAAAAAACAAAAAAAAGAAAAAGAAAAAAGCUGUCAGUAUUUCAGAAGCUACGAGCAGCAGAUCUUUGUGUACUUUAAUCCAUAAAUAAACAUUUCUUCUUUUNCUUUCCUACGCGUGUU